rnacentral:rRNA from 1 species
ACGGGAGGCAGCAGUGAGGAAUAUUGGUCAAUGGGCGGAAGCCUGAACCAGCCAUGCCGCGUGAAGGAAUGAGGCCCUAUGGGUCGUAAACUUCUUUUGACGGGGAGCAAUAAGGCGCGCGUGUGCGCCGAUGAGAGUACUCGUCGAAUAAGCAUCGGCUAACUCCGUGCCAGCAGCCGCGGUAAUACGGAGGAUGCAAGCGUUAUCCGGAUUUAUUGGGUUUAAAGGGUGCGUAGGCGGGUCGUCAAGUCAGCGGUGAAAUCCCGGAGCCUAACUCCGGAACUGCCGUUGAUACUGGCGGUCUUGAAUUCGGAUGCCGUGGGAGGAAUGAGUAGUGUAGCGGUGGAAUGCAUAGAUAUUACUCAGAACACCGAUUGCGAAGGCAUCUCACGAAUCCGACAUUGACGCUGAGGCACGAAAGCGUGGGGAUCAAACAGGAUUAGAUACCCUGGUA